rnacentral:rRNA from 1 species
UGAGGAAUAUUGGUCAAUGGGCGCAAGCCUGAACCAGCCAUGCCGCGUGCAGGAUGACGGUCCUAUGGAUUGUAAACUGCUUUUAUACAGGAAGAAACACUCCCUCGUGAGGGAGCUUGACGGUACUGUAGGAAUAAGGAUCGGCUAACUCCGUGCCAGUAGCCGCGGUAAUACGGAGGAUCCAAGCGUUAUCCGGAAUCAUUGGGUUUAAAGGGUCCGUAGGCGGUCUAAUAAGUCAGUGGUGAAAUCCUUCCGCUUAACGGGAGAACGGCCAUUGAUACUGUUAGACUUGAAUUAUUAGGAAGUAACUAGAAUAUGUAGUGUAGCGGUGAAAUGCUUAGAGAUUACAUGGAAUACCAAUUGCGAAGGCAGGUUACUACUAAUGGAUUGACGCUGAUGGACGAAAGCGUGGGUAGCGAACAGGAUUAGAUACCCUGGUAGUCCACGCCGUAAACGAUGGAUACUAGCUGUUCGGAGCAAUCUGAGUGGCUAAGCGAAAGUGAUAAGUAUCCCACCUGGGGAGUACGUUCGCAAGAAUGAAACUCAAAUGAAUU